UCUGAACCACUCCCCUCCCCGCCCACCACAAUUCAACAUUUUCCACUCAUAACAUCAUGACAUUAUAACUGUGCUCUCUGGCAGUUGUGUCAUUGGUGAUUAGUAAAACACUGAAACAAUGACAUCAUGUCUAUAAAAUAAUCACAAAAAAUGCCGAAUAUUAGUGACUAAGUCUCAGAAUGGAAUUUGAGCAUUUAAUGUAAAUGGUGAAAAACUUUUUCUUUUUUCAAGAUUAUUUUGACUAUUACCAUGAAUUUCCAUAUGAAUUUUAGUACUAGCUUUUCAAUUUCCGCAACGAAACCAGCUGGGAGUUUGAUAGAAAUUGUGUUGAAUCUUUAUCUUUAUGUCAUUUGGGAACUAUUGCUAUAAUAACAGUAUUACAUCUUCUGAUCCAUGAACAUGGGAUGGCUUUCCGUUUAUUUAGGUCUUCUUUAAUUACUUACAACUAUGUUUUGAAGUUUGCAGAGUAUAAGUGUUCCACUGUAUUUGCUAAAUUUGUUCUUAAGUAUUUUUUAUAUUAUUGUAAACAGAACUAUGUUAAUUUCACUUUUAGAUUAUUUAUUGCAAAGGUAGAUAAGUGUAGUUGAUAUGUUUGAUGAGCUAUGAAGGGGAUACUGUAAUCUCACACAGCAUAGUAGCAGGAUUUAGGAUGGAGAGUAAGGCUAUGAGACAUUUUCCAAUGUCUCAGAUGAAGGAAAGGAAAGGCCCAGAGUUUGGU
rnacentral:lncRNA from 1 species